AGAAUCAACGCUGGCGGCGUGCCUCAGACAUGCAAGUCGAACGCGAAAGUCCCUUCGGGGACAAGUAGAGUGGCGCACGGGUGAGUAACACGUAGGUAAUCUACCUUCGGAUGGGAAUAACCAACCGGAAACGGUUGGCUAAUACCGCAUAAAUGCAGCGGCACCUAAUGGUGACAGUUGUUAAAGCGGGGAUCGAAAGGACCUCGCGUACUGAAGAGGAGCCUUGCGGCGGAUUAGCUAGUUGGUAGGUAACGGCCUACCAAGGCGACGAUCCGUA
rnacentral:rRNA from 1 species